GACGAACGCUGGCGGCGCGCUUAACACAUGCAAGUCGAGCGAGAACCCAGGCUUCGGCCUGGGGGAAAGCGGCGAACGGGUGAGUAUCACGUGGGUAAUCUGCCCUCGACAUCGGGAUAGCCCGGGGAGACCCGGAUUAAUACCGAAUGGCCCAUCAGCUCUUCGGAGCGGAUGGAAAAGGUAGCUUCGGCCUCCGGUCGAGGAGGAGCCCGCGGCGGAUUAGCUUGUUGGUGAGGUAAAGGCUCACCAAGGCUCCGAUCCGUAGCUGGUCUGAGAGGACGAUCAGCCACACUGGGACUGAGACACGGCCCAGACUCCUACGGGAGGCAGCAGUGGGGAAUCUUGCGCAAUGGGCGAAAGCCUGACGCAGCGACGCCGCGUGAGGGAAGAAGGCCUUCGGGUUGUAAACCUCUUUCAGGAGGGACGAAGCCACUCGGGUUAAUAGCCCAGAGGGUGACGGUACCUCCAGAAGAAGCCCCGGCUAACUACGUGCCAGCCGCCGCCGUAACAC
rnacentral:rRNA from 1 species